UCAGCCUGUGGUACUCAAAAUGUGGGGGCACUUUGUGUUCUGAGAUAAUGUGCUACCACGUUUUGAGGGUUACCGGUUGA
ensembl:miRNA